rnacentral:rRNA from 1 species
AGUGGAGCGGCUACAGCUCAAAUUUGAAAUCUGGCCCCAGGCCCGAGUUGUAAUUUGCAGAGGAUGCUUUUGGUGCGGUGCCUUCCAAGUUCCCUAGAACGGGACGCCAGAGAGGGUGAGAGCCCCGUACAGUUGGACACCAAGCCUUUGUAAAGCUCCUUCGACGAGUCGAGUAGUUUGGGAAUGCUGCUCAAAAUGGGAGGUAUAUUUCUUCUAAAGCUAAAUACCGGCCAGAGACCGAUAGCGCACAAGUAGAGUGAUCGAAAGAUGAAAAGCACUUUGAAAAGAGGGUUAAACAGCACGUGAAAUUGUUAAAAGGGAAGCGCUUGUGACCAGACUUGCGUCCGGUGAAUCACCCAGCUCUCGCGGCUGGGGCACUUCGCCGGCUCAGGCCAGCAUCAGCUCGCUGUCGGGGACAAAAGCUUCGGGAACGUAGCUCUCUUCGGGGAGUGUUAUAGCCUGUUGCAUAAUACCCUUCGGCGGGCUGAGGUACGCGCUCCGCAAGGAUGCUGGCAUAAUGGUCAUCAGCGAC